rnacentral:rRNA from 1 species
CCUACGGGGGGCAGCAGUAGGGAAUAUUGUUCAAUGGGGGAAACCCUGAAGCAGCAACGCCGCGUGAAGGAUGAAGGUUUUAGGAUUGUAAACCCCUUUUGUUAGGGAAGAAUAUGACGGUAUCUAACGAAUAAGCACCGGCUAACUCCGUGCCAGCAGCCGCGGUAAGACGGAGGGUGCAAGCGUUAUUCGGAAUCACGGGGCGUAAAGGGGGCGUAGGCGGGGUAAUAAGUCAGAUGUGAAAUCCUGUGGCUUAACUACAGAACUGCAUUUGAAACUGUUACUCUGGAGUGUAGGAGAGGUAGGUGGAAUUCGUGGUGUAGGGGUAAAAUGCGUAGAGAUCAAGAGGAACUCUGAUUGCGAAGGCGACCUGCUGGACCGUAACUGACGCUGAGGCACGAAAGCGUGGGGAGCAAACAGGAUUAGAUACCCGAGUAGUC